GACGAACGCUGGCGGCGUGCCUAAUACAUGCAAGUAGAACGCACAGUUUAUACCGUAGCUUGCUACACCAUAGACUGUGAGUUGCGAACGGGUGAGUACGCGGAGGGAAACUGGCUGGGAGCGGGGGGAAACCAAUGGAAACGAUAGGCAAUAACGGCUAAUAUUGAAUUUUUCAUGAUAAAUAAAUGAAAAGUGCAAUUGGAACAAUACCAGAUGGACCUGCGUUGUAUUAGCUAGUAGGUGAGGUCACGGCUCACCUAGGCGACGAUACAUAGCCGACCUGAGAGGGUGAUCGGCCACACUGGGACUGAGACACGGCCCAGACUCCUACGGGAGGCAGCAGUAGGGAAUCUUCGGCAAUGGACGAAAGUCUGACCGAGCAACGCCGCGUGAGUGAAGAAGGUUUUCGGAUCGUAAAGCUCUGUUGUAAGAGAAGAACGGGUGUGAGAGUGGAAAGUUCACACUGUGACGGUAUCUUACCAGAAAGGGACGGCUAACUACGUG
rnacentral:rRNA from 1 species